CAAAGACAGAGCUGGCUCAGUGGAGAUGAAAAAAGUGGAGGCUUAGAGAAGCUGAACCACGUUUCCCAGCCUCCACCAACUUCUUCAAACUGUGUGGCACCCUGUUCUCAGCACUGCGUGCCCAUCACCAUCUUAAUCAGAUCUCCACGAAGCCUUUGCAAGAUCAGGCCUGUGGACGUUCCCUCACAGAAGGGUCAUUAGGCCUUCACCUGACUCUCCACCCACUCCCUCCUCACCCACCCUUCACCCAGCUCUGCAAAACUCGGCCCUGGCUGCUCGCCAUCUUUUGAAAUGGUAGAGCAUGCAGAAGGUACAUGGUUAACUGA
rnacentral:lncRNA from 1 species